rnacentral:rRNA from 1 species
UACGUAGGGGGCUAGCGUUGUCCGGAAUCAUUGGGCGUAAAGGGCUCGUAGGCGGCCAACUAAGUCAGACGUGAAAUCCCUCGGCUUAACCGGGGAACUGCGUCUGAUACUGGAUGGCUUGAAUUCGGGAGAGGGAUGCGGAAUUCCAGGUGUAGCGGUGAAAUGCGUAGAUAUCUGGAGGAACACCGGUGGCGAAGGCGGCUCACUGGCCCGGUACUGACGCUGAGGUGCGAAAGCGUGGGGAGCAAACAGG